rnacentral:misc_RNA from 1 species
UUUCCGUAGGUGAACCUGCGGAAGGAUCAUUACAAACGAGGGGGUGAGUGGUGAGUAGGUGAGGACUCGUCCUCGCACUCGUGCUCACCCCACACAUGCACGGGGCCGUGAGGCCCUGAUGUCUGCGCUUGUAUGUUUGACAGAGUCAUGGUGGCAAUUCUAUGCAACUUUUAACAAUGGAUCUCUUGGCUCUUGCAUCAAUGAAGAACGCAGC